rnacentral:lncRNA from 1 species
AGGGAAUUGAUUUGAUUCUGAAUCUUCCGUUCUUCAGGUACUUAUUUCACACUCUCUCUGAUUGGUCAAUGUGCUAUGCAAAGUUGUUAUAUAUAAAUUUGCUUUUAUACAUGUCUGCAUCAUAAUUAAUGUUAUUCCCUUCUGAAUUAGCAAGAUUUAGACGAUAUAAACAGUAAUAGUAGUUGUCUUUUCAUUUGUUAGAAAACAUAGUGUACAGAAUCGUAGCUGUAUGCAAUGAUUCAUCAUGUAUUUUUUUUAAAUCGCAACCCGUAAUUGUUUGAUGUCGUUAAAUGUCUAUAUUGUUUUGUUUACAUUCUUAAGCUGGCCUCCAUACUAUCUGCAUUGUCCUGGUAGCCUUGGUAGGUUAUAAUACGCAGAUCGAUAAUCCCGGUUCAGUUUGAGCUUUCCAUGUAAUUUUUUACUCAAAUAUUACGAUCACGACUUAACUUAAAUUAGCAGUAUAGUGUCAAUGGGCAUCAACUGAAGCUAAUAAGAUGUUGUUUACUAAAGAACAGCCCCUUGCUACUUGCACAGUAUGUGGCAAAACACCCUAAAUAUUAAAGAAAUCAUACUUGACUGUGAUUACAUUUGGUUGACGCUUACAUGUAUUUCCCAUCAGUAGACCAAGUGGGUAAUCUUCUAUCUCAAGUCCAAGCUUUCAAUGCAUUUUUCUCUUUUUUUCAUGUCUCAGUGAUGAUCUGCAGGGCCGAAUUAUGCCACUGUUGAUGGUGCACAGGUCUGUUGCAUGGUAAACCCAGUAUUGGCCGUCCUUUCAAGCUCCUUUGUUCAUCCUAGAGAAAAAACUGGAAAAACUAUCUUUUAAUCUUUCUAUAGUGCAUUGCUAUGAUUACAUAUAUGGAUACAUCAUUUCGAUGUGUCUAGAGACCUAAAGCCUUUUAAGAGUUAACUGCCAAACUGGGGAGUGAUGUCAUAAUUGGAGAUGGGCUUCGUUCAGUUAUUCUUUUUGGGCCUAGAACGAUGAUGUUUGCAGAUGGGCUUUAUUCUGUCAUAAGAGCUUAUCGAUCCAGCAUGCAUAGUUUUGUUUCUUCAGUGUUCUGUGUCUGAGAAAAACAUAUGUUGUUUCCUAUUUGUUUAUGGUCGAGAUGGACGGAUUUUUGUUGUGUGGGCUGGAGGUGGAUUUCUGUUGUGUGGGCUGAAGGUUCUUGAGGUAGGGCACCAGCACCAGCUAAGCUUUCAUUCUGGUGAAAUGUAUGACAUGAUUGAUGAGCAUGCAUAUCUAUAUGGUUUUGUGGACACUGAUUUGGUUCCAUGCCAGUUUAUUUCCUGCAGUUGGUGUGUUUCUUUAUAGAGAUUUUUGUCACUAAAUUAAAUUAGAAACUGAGUGUGUACUGCUUUCACCUUCAGUUUAAACAUGACAUUAUCUUAUUUGUGAAUAGAUGGAAAUUAGCAAGCAAGCUACAGUUAGUGCAUGGAUGACCAAGUUUACUUAUUACUUUAUGAAGAUGAUUCUUAAAUGGAAUUAGGAGCUAGGUCCUGCAUGUUGAUUGUGCUUCAAGGUACAGUUGUCUGUACCUUAUAAAAUUAAAGCUUUUUAUUGGUUGUGCAUCCCAGGACAAAAAUCUUGAUUCAUAGAUAGCCAAAGAAUUGAUUACUCUCUGUCGUUGUAGGGAAGAGGAUGGGAGGAGGGGAUGCGUUGCUCCACAUUUUGUUAUGCACACCUUCAUAAACUAUACUCCCUCUGUAAACUAAUACUCCCUCCGUUUCUUUUUACUCCGCGUAUAAGUUUUGGUCAAAGUCAAACUACAUAAAGUUUGACCAAAUUUAUAUUAAAAAAUAUGAACAUCUACAAUACUUAAACUGUAUAAUAUGAAAAUACAUUUCAUGGUCUGUCUGAAACUGUUGGUUUCAUAUUGUGAAUGUUGAUAUUUUUUAAUAUAAAGUUAGUCAAACUAUGCAAAGAUUGACUUUGACCAAAUCUUAUAUGCAGACUAAAAAGAAACGGAGGGAGUAUAAGAGCAUUUAGAUCACUAAAGUAGUGAUCUAAACGCUCUUAUAUUAGUUUACAGAGGGAGUACUUCUCUUAACAUAUGUUCAUUAUCCAGCAGAAGCUGUAGAUUUCAGAGUACAAUAAUUUCCUGUUUAUACAUGGGAGCAGAGCGGAGGAGGUCGAUGCAGGGUCGAGGAGGGGCACGAGCGAGGGUCAUGCCGCACGGGGGCGCGAUGGGGUGGCCGGGGAGCGUGCAGCGUCUAGCAAGAGAAGGCAGAAACCUGAGAAAAUAAGAUUAGGGAAGUCACACAUGUUUAAAUCAAGGUAGCAUACAUGUAGCCUUACUUGCUAUUUUUGCAUCAUGGAUGCUGAAGUUCCUAGAGGUAAAGCAGAAACCUGAUGUAUAGCAGUGCAAAUGUGCUGUCUGAUAGGCUUUAAAAAUUUCUUAAAGACGAAUGGUUGGACUGAUUUUUUCAAAACAUAAUAAGCACUUGUUUUCUACAGUUGGUAGCAUAUAUAUAGCUUAAGGAGAUUUCAUGUAAUAUACAUCUAAGUUGAAACUUCGGGAUCAUCUUAUAGCCGUUCACUUCUCUCUUUUUUAUUUUGUCUCAUUCCUUCAUUUAAGCAUAAGUUCAGUUUCAUUUGCUCAAGUUAGCUGCCAGUUGAACUUAUAGUUUCUUGCCUUAUAGUGUUUAUUGCAUAAUCCUUUUUUUUCUUCUCUUUUGAAAGCAAGGACCAGGCCACGAACAUAUGUUUAUAAUGCAGUUCUUUCACUGCGUACUGCAUAGUAUCUUAGCUAGGUCUCUCUGGGCAAGUGUAGUUUGCCUGCAGGUAUGACAUGUGUUUGAAUAUAAUCCUUUUCUUGCUUCUCUUUUCAAAGCAAGGACCAGGCUGGCAGGCUGGGAACAUAUUAUAAUGAAAUUCUUUCAUUGUAGACUGCAUAGUAUCUUAGCUAGGUCUCUCCAGCAUGCUACCAAAAAAGGAAUGCUAUUGCUUAUGUUCUCUGAUCAACUGUACCUUGAAUCCUCAAUUUUGUAAUUCUCUAAAGAAUCAUCCAGCACAAACUCUGUUCUUUGAAGAAUUGUACCUGGAUAUUCUGAAGCUUGUGCACUGAUAUUUGUUGUUCAUUUUGCGCUGGAGCUGUGCAACUCUCCUUUAGUUUUUUGAGGUGUCAACAAACUGAAAAUAGUUGCUUCUCACUUCGGAUCGUGUCAUGACUCGUGAGCUCAGAGACAUUAAGCACUGUUAGUUAGAUGUUCCAGUUUAUGUGUAGAGGAAGCUACACGGUGGCUCACGA